AACGAACGCUGGCGGCAUGCCUAACACAUGCAAGUCGAACGAGACCUUCGGGUUUAGUGGCGCACGGGUGCGUAACGCGUGGGAACCUGCCCUUAGGUUCGGAAUAACUCCCCGAAAGGGGUGCUAAUACCGGCUAAUGUCUUCGGACCAAAGAUUUAUCGCCUUUGGAUGGGCCCGCGUUGGAUUAGCUAGUUGGUAGGGUAAAAGCCUACCAAGGCGACGAUCCAUAGCUGGUCUGAGAGGAUGAUCAGCCACACUGGGACGAAGACACGGCCCAGACUCCUACGGGAGGCAGCAGUGGGGAAUAUUGGACAAUGGGCGGAAGCCUGAUCCAGCUAGGCCGCGUGAGUGAUGAAGGCCUUAGGGUUGUAAAGCUCUUUUACCCGGGAUGAUAAUGACAGUACCGGGAGAAUAAGCACCGGCUAACUCCGUG
rnacentral:rRNA from 1 species